CUGAUGUGUUUUUAUAUCAUACAUAUUUAUAACAGUGAUCUUCUCUAGAGCAAUAUCUGUAAUCUGAUAAUAAAUCUGUAUUCUGUAGUUCUGCUGCUUUUACUAAAGUGACUCAACAAGUCAAGAGACAUCUCUGCAUCUUUUGAGCUGCAUCUGGAUUCAGAUUUUAAAAUGAUCCUUUUCCACAGCACUGAUGGGAUAUGGAUCUUGGCCUGCAGGGAAAUCGGGAAAUCCUGAUUCAUCUGUGAUCAUCAAGAGGCCAGUCACGCACGCCAGUUGUCCUCCCACAGCCUCAUCAUCCUCAUCGUCCUUGUCAUCCUCAUCCUCAUCCUCAUCAUCCUCAUCGGCCUCAUCAUCCUCUUUGGCCUCAUCAACCUCAUCAUCCUCGUCAUCCUCAUCAUCCUUGUUGUCUUCAUCAUCCUCAUCGGCCUCAUUGGCCUCUUCCGCGUCUUCGGCCUCAUCAUCCUCAUCCUCAUCAUCCUCAUCAUCCUCAUCAUCCUCAUCAUC